rnacentral:rRNA from 1 species
AGUGAACGCUGGCGGUAGGCCUAACACAUGCAAGUCGAACGGCAGCACAGUAAGAGCUUGCUCUUACGGGUGGCGAGUGGCGGACGGGUGAGGAAUACAUCGGAAUCUACUUUUUCGUGGGGGAUCACGUAGGGAAACUUACGCUAAUACCGCAUACGACCUACGGGUGAAAGCAGGGGAUCUUCGGACCUUGCGCGAUUGAAUGAGCCGAUGUCGGAUUAGCUAGUUGGCGGGGUAAAGGCCCACCAAGGCGACGAUCCGUAGCUGGUCUGAGAGGAUGAUCAGCGACACUGGAACUGAGACACGGUCCAGACUCCUACGGGAGGCAGCAGUGGGGAAUAUUGGACAAUGGGCGCAAGCCUGAUCCAGCCAUACCGCGUGGGUGAAGAAGGCCUUCGGGUUGUAAAGCCCUUUUGUUGGGAAAGAAAAGCAGCAGGUUAAUACCCCGCUGUUCUGACGGUACCCAAAGAAUAAGCACCGGCUAACUUCGUG